CUCCACAAAUUGAAACACAUAACACUCAAGAUAAAAGUUAAGCGUUGUAAUGGGGCUUGGGGUAUUGGUUAACAAAGAAAGGAUAGGGAAAACAAACGUUCUUCAAGCGAUAGUAAGCCAAGUAGUGAAAUUGAGACUUCAAAUUCACUUAGAGUGCAGAAGUUAACUUUAACACACAAGGGGGAGACUUAAACAACUCCUUAGGGCCGAAUUCAUUGUUUUGGACCCUCACUUCAACAAACAAUACUUUGGAACUCUUUUUCUCAACUUUUCAACUCUUUUUUUUUUUUUCAAACUUUUCAUACUUUUUUCUUCAAUUUUUUUUUUCUUUUUUCACGAAUUUUUUUUUUCUUUUCUUUUCUUUGCCGUGCCUAUGGCACACAAUUCCUCAUGAAAAACACUUCCCCCACACUUGUUUUCUGCUAACAUAGAUUAACGGAAUUCAAUUCGAAUCAUGCUUUACUAUGCUUUAAGAACAAGGGUAUGGAUGGUCCUAAACUAGGCUAGGUGAGGUUAAUGGGGGUUAACAAAGAAAAGGCUAAACAAGGCUCAAUGGGGUUAAAAACCUACAAAACAUAAUAACAGAGGGGAUUUACGGCUUUUUGGCUAUGGUGGUGGUCACUACACAACUUUAUCUUGAAUAUGUGUUAUGCAAUUCAAUGACAUGCUUUGAAUGAAAUGAGCAUGAGUUCUAGCAUUUGGAACUAAAUGAUGAAACGCCUUCUAAGUAGCAACCAAUCAAGGAAUAAUGAGAUCAUGCAACGACUUAGAAAACAAAGAAUGCACAGAUUUUAACUCUCCAAAUAAACGUUUAGGCUCAAGUCUCACAAGGUUGUAGCGUUAAUUCGAGUUCCUUCCUUCAAGCAUGUUACAAAAACUGAUUUUUCCUUUAUGAUUGCAUGUGAAUUCAUAAGUUAUAACCACAACCAAGCAUAAACAAAGAGUAAAUCAAACUUUCAUCCAUGUUAAUCACUCUCUUUAACAGUCAUGCAAUUACAAACCAAAUCCUCAUCAUUGUGUUGGAAGGUACCCUAAGACACAAACAAACACACAAAAACAACUCUUUUUGGGUUUUUAAAACAAAUUUUUCAAAUUUUUUAUGUGAUUUUCGGAUUUUUACUUCAAAACACACUAAAACACACCAAAACUGCUCAAAAACACUUAAAAACAGCAAGGAACAAGUCUCCAAGUUAAGGGUGAUAAAAUCCCACGAAUUUGCAUCUAAAACACUUAGUUACCCCCCCCACACUUAAAUCCACAUUGUCCUCAAUGUUUCAAGCAUAAAAUCACACUAAACAAAAUGAAACACACAAACAGCAACUAAAACAACUAAAUAGGCAGAUUCGAAAUAAACAACAAAGUGAAGAGUUUAAGAACGCAAAUCUGGAAUUGGAGUAAUUCCUUGGUCUUCCUUUGUUGAAUUGCAUGGUUUGCCUCCCAAGUAGCGCUUCCUUUAACGUCGUACAGCCGGACGAAGAGCUCAGUCAUUCUCCAUUUAUGCCCACGGCACCCAAAGAAAUAUCAUCCACGGUUUGUUCAACAAAGUUCUCAUAAUAUGGCUUCAAACGGUGUCCGUUCACUUGGAAUUCAUGACCUGUUUUGAGACUUUGAAUCUGGAUGGCACCAUGAGAAGAUACAUUAGUAAUAACAAACGGUCCAAUCCACUUAGAACGUAACUUACCGGGAAACAAACGUAAACGGGAAUUGAACAAUAGCACUUUCUGCCCAAUUGAGAAUGAUUUCCCACGGAUCAUGUUGUCAUGGAAAGCUUUGGUCUUUUGCUUGUAAAUGCUUGCAUUAUCGUACGCCUCGUGCCGUAUCUCAUCAAGCUCAUUCAAUUGCAAUCUCCUUUGACUUCUUGCUUGCUCGAGGUUCAUGUUAAACUUCUUGAUGGCCCAAAGUGCUUUAUGCUCCAAUUCAACAGGAAAAUGGCACGCCUUGCCAUAGACAAGUCGAAAGGGGGACAUCCCAAUGGGGGUUUUGUAUGCCGUACGAUACGCCCAAAGCGCAUCAUCUAACCGUAAGCUCAAAUCCUUCCUUGUUGGCCCAACGGUCUUCUCAAGUAUUUGCUUGAUCUCUCGGUUGGAAACCUCGGCUUGGCCAUUCGUUUGAGGAUGGUAAGGUGUAGAAACCUUUUGGGUGACACUGUAUUUCCUCAAUAACGCUUCAAUGGUCCGAUUGCAAAAAUGUGACCCUCCAUCACUAAUGAUCACUCGUGGCAUUCCGAACCUUGCAAAAAUGUUAGUUCUAAUAAAAUCUGCAACCACUUUAGAAUCAUUAGUCCGGGUGGCCUUGGCUUCCACCCAUUUCGACACAUAAUCAACCGCAAGCAAAAUAUACAUGAAACCAUACGAUGAAGGGAAGGGACCCAUAAAAUCAAUACCCCAAACAUCAAAAAUUUCAACAUUUAGGACAGAAACCUGCGGCAUUUGGUCAUUUGCAUUAAUACCACCCAUUCGUUGGCAUUUAUCACAUGUUAAGCAAAAAGUUUUAGCAUCUUUAAAAAUACUAGGCCAAUAGAAUCCACAUUGUAACACCUUGAGGGCUGUGCGUUGUGUGCCAAAGUGCCCUCCACAUGCAUAUGUGUGACAAAAACUCAAAAUUGAAUAACAUUCAGAAUCGUGCACACAACGACGUAUAAUCUGAUCGGGGCAAAAUUUCCAUAAGUACGGAUCAUCCCACACAUAAAACCGUGCAUCAUGCCUAAGUUUAUCACGUUGGUGCCUAGUGAACUCACUUGGGAUACAUUUUGACACCAAAAAAUUAACAAUAUCGGCAUACCAAGGUGCACUAACCUUAAUGGACAGCAAUUGUUCAUCGGGGAAUGUCUCCAAAAUCGGCAAAGACUCCUCAUUAUGCACCAUUCGGCUUAGGUGGUCAGCCACCACGUUUUCACUUCCCUUCUUGUCCCGAAUCUCUAUGUCAAACUCUUGAAGUAGCAAUAUCCAUCGAAUUAGCCGUGGCUUGGCCUCCUUUUUGGUGAGCAAGUACUUCAGAGCUGCAUGAUCAGUGAAAACAAUUACUUUAGUUCCAAUUAAAUAUGAUCGAAAUUUAUCUAAAGCAAAGACAACGGCAAGGAGUUCUUUUUCCGUAGUGGAGUAGUUCAAUUGUGCAUCGUUCAACGUCCGUGAGGCGUAGUAAAUGAUCGGAUCAUAUUUAUAUAUAUUUUUACUUCGAAUUCACUCGUCUUUUCUUAGUUAGUUCCUUAUAUUUUUGAGCUAUUUACGUUAUUUUUGUGUUUAUAGGAUUUGUUAUGCAAAGAAAAUAAAAAUGGCACAAACUUGUUAUUUACUCACUAAAUUUUGUCAGGUUGGAAUCAGAGUUUGCACUGGGGUUUUUAUUAAACUUAAAGAUGUUUCAGGUGGAAUGGUGAGUAACGCACAAAGAAAAGAAGCAGCAAGGCUGCCAAAAAGAAGAAUAAAUAAAAAGAGGAAAAAGCAGCACUUGGCUGCCUGGGUGGAACAAAAGAAAACAAAAGAAUGAGUGGAGCACGAAGAAAAGAAUAAAUGAAAGCUGCUGAGUGCAGCGUGGUAGGUGGGCAGCGGGCAUAUAUGAGAAAACUGAGCGCAGAAGGCAAGGGGGGAAGAACGCUGCCCUUUGGCAGCGAGGUCAGAGGGGAGAAGUGGAAGACACGGGGAGAGAGAGCAGAAAGCUGCCUUAGGCAGCACACGGAAAGAAGAAUAAGGGGCGGGAGAAGAAGGACAGCUGCUUUGAGCAGCGUGAGCAAAGCUGCAGUGCCAGAGGAGAGAAACAGAAGGCCUUUGGCAGCGUGAGGUCAGAGAGCAGCUCGCAGGGGUUCAAAGGCACAGACAGAAACACUCUUCUCUCUCGGUUAAAUCUUUCCAAACUUAUAUUUUAUUUCUGUUUUAAUAAUGUGUAACUAAAUUUAUUUUGGCUAGAGGUUAAUUCAAAGCCAUGAAUAUAUUUGUAAUAUGAAUUGAUUACCUUCAGUUGUGAUUUCUAAGUUGUGAUUUAAUUUGCUUAACUGCUUGAUUUAUAACUUAUUUUUGUAUGUCGAUUAAGGAUGCAUACUUAAUUUAACAUGCAUGAAUUUGAUGCUAGAAUAUAAGUGAAUUUCACCUAAUCGUUAUGAACUUAUAUUCACAAGUAGUGAAGGUUGCUAGUCACAAUCACGUUAAGUAAAUUCUUGGCAUAAGUUUCAUGCAAAUCAUAGUAACGAGUGCCUCGUCAAUGCUUAUGUUUUUCAUAGAAACUUAAUGAUUCUUGCUUGUAUCUCUAUUAUGCAAUUCAUGUAGGGAACUUGUAGGGAAUGUUUUUGGGUUGUCGUAUGCAAUCAUCCAACCCAAUAACAUUGUGGAAAAACUGAGGGUUAAUUAGUGCAAUUCACGGUUAAUUUGGGGCGUUGAGAUUUACAAUUUAUUGAAAAGAACAACUGAAAAUCAAAUUUAGGUUGCAUAUGUGUCAUGUGUGGAGAAGAACCCUCUAGCUAAUCCGUCACUUAUCAUUUCAACCUUAAUUUCAUGCUUUUGUCAAUUCUGUAAUUUAUUUAAGUUAAUUUACGUCUCGUCAAAACCAAAAACCCCCCUCAUUAUUAAAUUAUAUUAUUUAGUUAGUUUUCAUUGUUUUUAGUCUUUUAAUUCAAUUUCCGUCCAUUUCAAUUCCUAGUGUCUAAUUUGAUUGUUUUCAUUAUUUUGAGUCUUUCUAAGUGUGUUUCGAGGUAUUAGAGUUUUUAGCCUAGUUUUGUGUCCUUGAGUCUUGUUUAAUAUUUUUAAAUUAAUUUAGAAUAGAUUAGCAAUCCCUCCUAAUCCCCGGCCUACAACGAUACCCUACUUACAUCUAUACUACAAUUGUCAAAAAGAGGGUUUAAUUUGUGUGUCAAGUAAUUUCUCGCAUCAGUAAAUGACAUGCGGCCUCUUGUCAUUUCUUUGUCCUAAAACAGCUCCUAAAGCAUAGUCGGACGCAUCACACAUGAGCUCGAAAGGUAGACUCCAAUCCGGUGGAACAAUGAUGGGUGCCGUGGUCAACAACUCCUUGAGUUGGUUGAAUGAUGCCGUGCACUCCUUGGUGAAUUCAAACGCCACUUCUUUUUGUAGGAGUCGGCAAAGAGGUUGUGCUAUCUUCGAGAAAUCUUUGAUAAACCUACGAUAAAAUCCUGCAUGGCCAAGAAACGAACGAACCUCUCUAACCGAAGUCGGAGAGGGUAAGUGACGUACAAGAUCUAUUUUUUGACUUAUCAACCUCAAUACCCUUUUCAGAGAUUAUAUGACCUAAAACGAUGCCUUGUUUAACCAUAAAAUGACACUUUUCCCAAUUAAGAACAAGGUUAGUUUCAACGCAACGUUUUAAGAUCACACUUAGAUUAUGCAAGCAACUAUCAAACGAAUCACCAAAGACGCUAAAAUCAUCCAUAAACACUUCAAUUAUCUUCUCUACAUAAUCAGAAAAUAUGCUCAUCAUGCAUCUUUGAAAUGUAGCAGGUGCAUUACUGAUAGGAGCAUAUUUAUGCGCCUUAGUUAGCUAGUUCUUAUGCAUUUCCAUGGUGUUUUCUUAGUUAAAAUAGUCUUUUAAGCUAGUUUUAUGUGUUUUCAGGUUUUAAGGCCAAAGGAUGCAAGAAGAUGCAUUUUGGAGCUUUUUGGAGCAAAAUUGGGCUUGGAAUGAUUAUCACAUAAUUGGAGCCAAGGUUUGGACGAAUUUGAAGACUUGAAGAUGAUGAUUCCUACUUGAACAAGGUUUCCUAGUUGAAGUAGGAAAGUGCUUACAUGAAGGAGGAUUCCUAAUCGACGAAGGAUUCCUAAUCAACGAAGGAUUCCUAAUCAACGAAGGAUUCCUAAUUGAAGAUGGAUUCCUAAUCACAUGAGGAUUCCUAGAAGAACAAGGAUUCCUACUCCAACAAGGAUUCCUACUUGAAGUAGGAAAGUUAAGCCAAGGUUUCCUACUUUGGUUUGAUUUUUCCUAAUUGUCCCUAAAAGUUCCAGCAAUUAUGAAGAUUUUCUAAGCAUUCUAGGACACAAAACAAAAGCCUAGAACCCUUAUGGACCCCUUGCCACACUCCCUUGCCCUUUCCUCUUCCUUGCCGUGCAAGGGAGAGGGCUCUUUCCUGUUUUGGAGCAUUAAAACACCUUCCUUUUUAUGCUUUAAACCCUGGCCGAAUUUCCUUGACCCUUCCUUUUAAUUUUCUGAUUUGUUUCCUUAAUUCUAGAAGCUUUAAACUUAAUUCCUGAUUACCUAAUUAGCCUAGGGUUUUUAAUUUCCUAAAUCCCUUUAAAUAAACAUCCUUGUGCAGCCACAAAGGGGAACCAUUCAUCAGAAAAUAAUCCUUCACGCCAGAAACCAUUCUCCAUCUUCAACAGCAACCUAUCCUUCAUCAUUCACAUAUUUUUCUGACCCAAAACCACCCUAGCCGUCCCAUACACCUAUCCUACACACUUUUCCACCAAUUCUACACCAUCCAUAACCCCCAAAAACCAUCACAAACCCCUGGCCGCAACCAAGGAAGAGGAGGAAGGUUCUUAGACGUUCCUGCUGUGCAAUUUAGAUUGCUGGAAUUUUUAGGUGUGAUCUUUCUUAUGUUUUCAAUGUUUCAAUUCAAUAAACUUUGUGUUGUGAGUAUGAGGAACUAAACCCCCUUAGUUGGGGGGUGAUUCGAAACCAUGUACAUGCUUGCAAUAUGAUUUGAUUACAUUCAGUUGUUAUUUCAUAAGUUGUGGAUUCAAUUCGUUCAUCUACUUGAUUGAUAACUUAUUUGUGUAUGUUGAUUGAGAGUGCACGCUUAGUUUUCAUGCAUGAAUAUGAUGCUAGAUUAUGAGGGAGUUUCACCUAAUAGUUACAAUCUUAUAAUCACAAGUAGUGAAGGUCGCUUGAAAACGAUCGCGUUGAAUGAAUUCUUGGCACUAGUUUCAUGCUCAUCAUAGUAACGAAUGCCUCGUCAACACUUAUAGUUCUCAUUGUGCUUCAUGAUUCUUGAUUGUAUCUUUAUUGUGCUCAUCACGUAAGGAACCUUUAAGGAAUGCUUUGAAUUGUUGUAUGCGCUUUCCCAUCCAAUUCAUUAACUUUAGGAGAACUUGAAGGUUAAUUUAAGCGUAUCUAAUUAACUUGGGGUGUUGAGUUUCAUAAUUUAUUGGGAGAACAACUGAAAAUCGUUUUGUUUGCAAGUGUGUCAUGUGUGGAGAAGAACCUCCUAACUAGCCUUCUACCCAUCUAUUUCACCAAAAUCGUUUUUUACAAUCUGCCCUAUUUCAACUGUUUUCUUUAUUUUAAUUUUUUCGUCAAAACAAAUCCCCCUUUAUUUUGAGUCCUAGAUUAGUUAGAAAGUGUGUUAGUUUAUGUUUUCUAGUGUUUUGAGUCAAGUUAUAACAUAAAUUCGUCCAAAUUUGUGUUAGUACUCAAAACUGCCCAGAUUGUGCUUCUAAGGCAGUUUUGAGUGUUUAUUUGCUGUUUUGGUUCCUUUGCUUUGUUUUGGUGUUUUAACUUUUAAUUUUACAUUCUUUGAGUCUAGUUUAGUGUUUUAAACUUUGUUUUUACAUUAUUGAGUCAGUUUUCAAGAGAUUAGCAAUCCCUCCUAAUCCCCGGUUUAGAACGAUCCCUACUUACAUAUUUACUACAAUUUGACAAAAGAGGGUUUAAUUUGUGUGCUUAAUAUAUUUCGCAUCAAAUUUUUGGCGCCGUUGCCGGGGAUUAGCAAAUUUGCUAAUCCCUUGGAUUGUCUUUUGUUUCUAUUUCUUUUAUUUCACUUUGUUUCUGAUUUUGUGUAAGUUUCUGACCUAAUUUUGUUUCUUGUUUCUUAGGUACUAAUGUAUGACUAGAAGCUCUCAAACGAUUCGUGCGAACAUCUUGGAUUUUGACGACUAUUUUGAGAGGAAGUUGAGAAGAGUUAGAAACCAGCAAGAACACCAUCCACCAAAUUCCGAAUCUGACCUUGAAGAAAACGUACAAGAAGAGGAAGAGGAAGCCACGGCAAGGAUAUUUGAAGAAGUCCAAGGCAUGGCCAUGGACAAUCGUACACUCAAGGAGCUUUCCGCCUCAGGUUUGGAUAAUGCCGCACCCUUGUGCAUUCAAUACCCCAUGGCAGCCCAAGGUAAGACAGACGAGUUUGAAUUAAAGUCAAGUUUGCUUCAUCAUAUCCCUAAAUACCAUGGCUUGUCCAUGGAAGAUCCUAACAAACAUUUGAAAGAAUUUGAAGUAGUUUGCUCUAGUAUGACUCCCGUCAAUGUUGACGGAAAUAUCUUGAAGAUGAAGGCUUUUCCAUUCUCUUUGAUGGAUAAAGCCAAGGAUUGGUUAUACGAGUUAGCUCCCGGCACUGUCACUUCUUGGGAGGGUAUGAAGAGAGCGUACUUGGAGAAGUUCUUUCCAACUUCUCGCAUCAUCCUCCUACGCAAAAAGAUAAGCGGAAUUCAGCAAGAAGAAGGUGGGUCUUUUCCUACAUAUUAUGAACGAUUUAAAUCACUUGUUGCUUCUUGUCCACAGCAUCAGAUGAAGGAGGAAUUGCUCUUGCCGUGCCUAUGACACACAAUUCCUCAUGAAAAACACUUCCCCCACACUUGUUUUCUGCUAACAUAGAUUAACAGGAAUUCAAUUCGAAUCAUGCUUUACUAUGCUUUAAGAACAAGGGUAUGGAUGGUCCUAAACUAGGAUAGGUGAGGUUAAUGGGGGUUAACAAAGAAAAGGCUAAACAAGGCUCAAUGGGGUUAAAAACCUACAAAACAUAAUAACAGAGGGGAUUUACGGCUUUUUGGCUAUGGUGGUGGUCACUACACAACUUUAUCUUGAAUAUGUGUUAUGCAAUUCAAUGACAUGCUUUGAAUGAAAUGAGCAUGAGUUCUAGCAUUUGGAACUAAAUGAUGAAACGCCUUCUAAGUAGCAACCAAUCAAGGAAUAAUGAGAUCAUGCAACGACUUAGAAAACAAAGAAUGCACAGAUUUUAACUCUCCAAAUAAACGUUUAGGCUCAAGUCUCACAAGGUUGUAGCGUUAAUUCGAGUUCCUUCCUUCAAGCAUGUUACAAAAACUGAUUUUUCCUUUAUGAUUGCAUGUGAAUUCAUAAGUUAUAACCACAACCAAACAUAAACAAAGAGUAAAUCAAACUUUCAUCCAUGUUAAUCACUCUCUUUAACAGUCAUGCAAUUACAAACCAAAUCCUCAUCAUUGUGUUGGAAGGUACCCUAAGACACAAACAAACACACAAAAACAACUCUUUUUGGGUUUUUAAAACAAAUUUUUCAAAUUUUUAUGUGAUUUUCGGAUUUUUACUUCAAAACACACUAAAACACACCAAAACUGCUCAAAAACACUUAAAAACAGCAAGGAACAAGUCUCCAAGUUAAGGGUGAUAAAAUCCCACGAAUUUGCAUCUAAAACACUUAGUUAGCCCCCCACACUUAAAUCCAACAUUGUCCUCAAUGUUUCAAGCAUAAAAUCACACUAAACAAAAAGAAACACACAAACAGCAACUAAAACAACU
rnacentral:lncRNA from 1 species